rnacentral:lncRNA from 1 species
AGGGACUUAAUAUGCUGAGCCCUUUCCACACCACACAUACUCCCCCCCCCAAAAAAAAGUUCUUUCCCCAGAUGUUUGAGGGAGGAAAGUAUGGGGGGGUUCAGUUCCUUCCCCACCCAUCCCUGGUUUUAAAGGACCCUGAUGUUGAGAAAGAUGGAGGGCACAAGGAGAAGGGGACGACAGAGGACGAGAUGGUUGGAUAGUGUUCUCGAAGCUACAAACAUGAGUUUGACCAAACUGCAGGAGGCAGUGGGAGACAGGAGUGCCUGGCGUGCUCUGGUCCAUGGGGUCACGAAGAGUCGGACACGACUAAACAACAAAACAACAACAACAAAGAACAAAUAUACCCGGACAAACUUAGUUGAUCUCUAAGGUGCUACUGGACCUUUUUUUUUAAAGGAAGCAUGGGGAUCCUGGAUACUUCUGUUCUCCCAGACGUCUGUUUUUGGGACCAUAGAUCCCAGGAUCCCAUAAACAUUCUGGUGGGAAACUCAAUGGCACCCCUCUGGAGGCUUUGCCCGGGGCAGAAAUCCAGGCUAGACCUGCCCUCCCCCCGCUACAGCUCUGAGCAGGACACAGAAGAAUGCAGCAACCUAACACAUGGAUGGAACGGAACUCCGAAGGAUGGGUCUGUGACAUCACAGCUGCAAAGACCAAUGAGAAUCAAGCCACAUUCUCUCCUGUCCUCUUCCCAACUCCCAUGGAUGCUAGUAGGAACCCAGACACAAAAGUAAGUUCAUUUCCCCGAGUUACCGACUGCGGCGUUCUCCCCACGAUCUCACGUUCAGCCCUGAGCUACCCUCAGCUGUUCCUGUGACUUCAGCUCUGGCCCAAGAACCCCUUGUUGUCCUCCUUUCCCUUUCAGUGCUUAUUCCUAAGGGUUCACAACUGAUAUAAUUGGACAGAAAUAACUAACCCUCAAGCAUCCCUUCAUUAGCAUCUUUUCAUACGUACAUUUGGCUUGAUAAAGUCAAGCCGCUUGCUCUUCCAUUGCAUACUUGCGUGGGCUACACUGAGGUUCUAAGCCACUUCAUGGACAGGUCAGAGGACCUCUAGGUUGAGACACGGAGGAGAGAGGGUGCAACCUUGCACCUGAGAGUUGUCAGCAUAGGACUUUACUCAAGUAAGUCCUGUUCAGAGUAGAUGCAAAUAAAAUAAUGGGCUUGAUUGAGGCGUGUCCAUUAACUCCAAUGGAUCUACUCUGAAUAAGACAAUGGAGACAACACGCUGUUGUGCUUUUUUACAAGCCCAUGUACUGCAUAGAGGGAUGCAGGUGGCGCUGUGGUCUAAACCACUGAGCCUCUUGGGCUUGCCGAUCGGAAGGUCAGCGGUUCGAAUCUGCGUGACAGGGUGAGCUCCCGUUGCUCUGUCCCAGUUCCUGCCAACCUAGCAGUUCGAAAGCACACCAGUGCAAGUAGAUAAAUAGGUACCGCUCUGGUGAGAAGGUAAAUGGCAUUUCCAUGC